rnacentral:lncRNA from 1 species
UUUUUUUUUUUUUUUUUUAAGGGAUGCACCUAUGGCAUAUGGAGUUCCUGGGAUAGGGGUUGAACUGGAGCUGCAGUGGCUGGCCUACCCCACAGAAGCAGCCUAUGCACAGCUGCAGCGAUGCCAGAUCCCUAACCCACUGAGUGAGGCCAUGGAUGGAACCUGCAUCCUCAUGGAUACCAUGUUAGAUUUUUAACCCUCUGAGCCAGAGCAGGAACUCUCUCUCGGGCCCUCAUUUACUACAAAUUAAACACUCUACAGGGCCACAAGUCACAACACCCUGCAUGCAUGGGGGAGGGGGUUGCCCAGCUGGACACCUGACAUCCCUGCUGUCAGCCAGAGGCUCCUUCCGUCUCUGGACAAUGAGAGCGUGAGAGCUUGACACCUGAUCCUGGGGCUCCCCCAGGCACACCUGCCUCCCCUGCACCCCCCCCUUCUAAUCUUCAUAGCAGCUUCAGUUUUCCCACAGGGCUUCCGGGGCCCUCCCUACCUUCUGGAGCAGGCAGGCAGCAUGACAGGUGACAAAUCAAAAGUCAUUCUCUCCUGAACAGGUGUGUGCCGGGGCUCAGGGGCAGGGCAGGGAGGCCAAGGUUGGGGUGGGAGUUCCUAGAAGCCUCUGGGGCCCAGGAGCAUCUGAUCCCAUGGCUGGAACCCUGUUUUUAGCAGUUAGUCAAGGCUGCCAGAAGCUGUGGCUGAUUUCCUCCCCUGUCCCAAUGCCAAGUUCACUUACCAUGUUAGUUCUUACCAACUUUAGCCACCUACUCCGGGCCAGACUUUAAGGAUUCUCAGAAAAAGACCUGCCAUCCUCUCAGCCCAAGGAUGCAGACCACCCCUACCCUCCACCCCUAUGUUUUCUCUGCCCACUUGGCUGCUGAUGGCUGGGCUCCCCAAUCCAUGAUACUAUAAGCCCCAUUGCUCCCCAGCUUUUCAGUCCAUCUGCCUCAAGGCUGGUAAGUUAUCAAUAGCCUCAAGUCCCAUCCCCAAACCCAAUGGGGGUUUAAAAUAAAAUCACCCAGUCACCUCUAAAACCACAGGAAAUGUCCUUGGACCAACUCAGAGGGUUAACUAUUUCUCUGCUUUGUGCCCCCUCAAGAUCAGCAGAGCCAGACUUAUUAAAUAAUAACAGAUUAUUUAAAAUAAUAAUGAGGGAGUUCUUUUGCGGCACAGCAGGUUAAGAACCCAGGGUUAUCACUGCAGGGGCUUGGGUCACUACUGUGGCAUGGGUUCAGUUCCUGGCCUGAGAACUUCCACAUGAUGCAGGCAGCCAAAAAAAUAAUAAUAAUUUUAAAAUGAUGUUAACAUUAUUUAUGUAAUAAUAGCUCAUUUAAAACUAAUAAUAGUUAUCGUUAGAAGGUAAGCAACAGUACAAACACUACAAAGGCAGGUAAUUUUGUCUAUUUUGUUCACUGAUGUGUUAUGAGAGCCAAGACCAGUGUUUGGCACAUUGCAGUCAUUCAGAAAGUACUUUGAAUAAAGUAUUUACUAGGUGCCAGGCACUAUCCAAGUGCUUUUCAAGUAUUAAUUUAUUUAAUCCUUACAACGUGGUGAGGUGGGUAAUAUUACUCCCAUUUUGCAGACAGGGAAACUGAGGUACAGAGAAACUGACAAUAUCGUGGUAUAGAAUGUAUACUAUUUCAUUGAACAUUUUUGGCUUUUUUUUUUAGUGCCACACAGAGCCAUAUGGAAGUUCCCAGGCUAGGGGUUGUAUUGGAGCUGUAGCUGCCAGCCUACACCACAGCCAUAGCAACGCCAGACCUGAGCCACAUCUGUGACCUGCCAUGGCCCACCACAAUGCCAGAUCCCCAACCCACUGAGCCAGGCCAGGGAUCAAACCCACGUCCCCGUGGACACCAGUUGGGUUCAUUAUCUCUGAGCCACAAUGGUACUUCCAAACAUUUUUGUUUCACUUCUUUAACAAUAAUUUAUCGAUACUCACCUCUCCUGUCUUAAACACAGACCAUGAUUCAAAAGUUGGUGGGAUGAAUCAAUAGAGCUUCCUUCAACCUCACUAUCUAUAUGUCAUUCACCAAAUGUUUUGGAAAUGAUUGGGAGUGGAGAGAAGAUGUGGGGAAGGAACUGAGGAGUCAGUGGCUAAAAUAUAGACCCCAGAGUCCAAAUGGCUGGGUUUGAAUCUCCAUCUCUUCCCCUUUUUAGCUGUGUGAUCUUGGGCAAGUUGCUCAACCUCUUGUGGCCUCAGUUUCAUCAUCUUUUAAAUGGGGAUAAUAAUAGCCCUGGCCUUCUAGAGCUGUUGUGAGAAUUAAAUGAGAUAAUGCUUGCUCAGUGCUUGGCACAUAGUAAGGGCUCCGUAAAUGGUGGUUAUUACCACUGUUAAUAUGAUAUUGGUGUAACUUCUCCUUGCCCCGUAUCUGAUGUGCAGUCAAAGCCUCUUAUUAGUUCUUCCACUGGCUACACCAGCAGCUUCUUGGCAGGCGCCUGUAGCAGGUGUGACCCAUCCCUCCCCAUCUGUCAGGGUGAAUCCUCCGCCAGUUCCGGUCUGAGCUUAUAACCUGCUUAUUAGGUUAAUUAGACGCGACAUCUUUCCAAAGGCAGCCCUAACAUCUGGUGAAGGCUGCAGCUUGCCAAGAAUUUGUGGAAUGGCAGUCCUCACCAGCCUUCGGUUGGAGCAGGUGGGGCACAGUGUGGGGAGAAGCACCAUCCCUUUCCUCUCUGGGAUCCUUGGCUGGCUCCUGGGUCUUCCCUGGGUAGGACUGCCAGAUAAAAUACAGGAUGUCCAGUUAAAUUUGAAUUUCAGAUAAGUGCCAAAUUUAUUUCCUAAUAUAAGUCUCAAAUAAUGUAGUUCCUGUCAUGGCUCAGUGGUUAAUGAAUCCAACUAGGAACCAUGGGGUUGCGGGUUUGAUCCCUGGCCUCACUCAGUGGGUUAAGGAUCUUGCGUUGCUGUGGCUGUGGUGUAGGCCUGCAGCUACAGCUCCAAUUAGACCCCUUGCCCGGGAAUCUCCAUAUGCCACAGGUGCAGCCCUAGAAAAG